AAAAAUAAUAAUAAUCACAUACCAUAUUUACUUACAUCAUUUACCCCAUACUUUCACAAUAAUUUUACUAGUGAAACACAGGAAGGGGGAAAUUAUGUAGUAAUACUACCUUUGCAGAGGUAAUCUAAGGUAAUGUACAACAUCCAAAGGAUAGCUCCCUUCCGACCAGCUGCUGGGGUUUUGGCAUCAGGAUUCUUACUUGGCACAGGGUUGUUACUCAGUGGGAGCCACUGAAUCUACUAAUCAACAAGUAUUUAUUGAGUACCAGAAGAUGUUGAGAUGAUGUACCAAGAAGGGCCCUGGAGGACACAAAAGGACAAGUUAUGGACUGUAUCUUCAAGAUGCUUACAAUGUUGCUGGGAAAUGAGAAUAGUGGUUAACCUGUUUAUUCCUGAAAUAUUACUUUUCCCUAAGGUUUCUUUCAUAUGCUUUGGUUCUUAUUAUUUUUUACUAGAUCUAACUAGACCAAAAAAAAAAAUCUUGGAAGUUAUUUGGGAAGAAAAGAGAUUGGAGUCAAUGAAAUAAGUGCUCCCUACCCUCAGUAACCUUCAGAUUUUGUAUGAUAUUCAUUACUAAUAGCAGGCAUCAAUUGUAAAUUAAAUGUAUAUUUAUAAAAAAAAAUUAAUAUAGCCACUGUGAAGCCAUAGCCAGAGAGAAGACAAACUAUAAUUUCUCAAUCACUUUUCAAUGUCAAAGGGACUUUCUUGCCUAACAAUAACUAUGAAAAAUCAAUUCAAACUAUUUUAAGGUUGCAAAGUAACUUAAAAAAAAACAGGUAAAAAAAAAAAAAAACUUCAGGAUUCUAUGGGAAAAUAAACCUUUAUUUGAAAAUCAAUCUCUGGAACUUGAAAGUAAGACCACUUAUGGUUUUCUGAUGUAUAUGAUGAAAAAUGAUAUCAAGAAUUGUUAUAGAAAUAAAUUGCUGAAGACCCAAUUAUAAUUUCAGAGGACAUAACAUCAUAUGAUUUUCAUGUUGCCCCAUAGAUUAAAGAAAUGGUAUGAUAAAAGUUUACUACACAACUGAAGACAUGCAUUUUCAUCUCUAUAUUUAAUUGUGUGCUUGCAAGACAGUGUGACAAAGUAGACAGAUGUCCUAGAAUUUAGGAAGACCUGGAUUCAAGUUUUGUUUCAUACACUCACACAAACACAUUCUCUCUCUCUCUCUCUCUCUCUCUCUCUCUCUCUCUCUCUCUCUCUCUCUCUCUCACAAACACACACACACACACACAUGUUGGAGAAAUCACUUACACUCCAAAAUUGUCACUAGGCAACUAUAAAUUGCAAAACAGUGCCCACUGAACCAGUAAAAGGAUCUAUUUCUCUGGAAGGCUGUUCCCUACAUCAAUGAAAAUUAUAGAAUUAGAAAAAAAAAAUUUUUUUAAGUUCCAACAAUUCUUAUUUCACUACUUCAAGAAUCUAUAAUUUUUAAAAAGUGGGUCCAUCACCACUAAAAAUAGCCACUGUGAAACUUCAACUAGAAAGAAGACAAUCCUUUCUCAAUUGCUUUUCUAGAUCUCAUCUCCUCUAAAUUUAAUAGGUAAUCUUCAAGAGCUGCUGCAGCUGAAAAAUCUCUUCACCCUGUCUCUGGCCAAUAGGUUGAUAAGCCUUUGCAAACUUAGCUAGGUUGGUUUUCAGACAAUAGACAUAUAGUUCAUUAGCAGCCCACAAGUGAAGCCUUCCAUGUAUAACAGAAUCUGCCCCAGCUUGCACUUCACUGGGAUAAGCUUUCCAGGACCCAGAAUCAUCUUCAUUCCAAAAUAAGGCAUCAGAUCGGGACCUUUGUAUAGAUUUAAUUUCUUCAGAAAAGGGAAAAACAUUUUAAUUACUUCCAAGUAGGUAUCCAGAGACCUAAAGACAUGCUCACUUGGCAUAUUUGUUAAAUACAGAGUUUUAAUGCAGCAAGAUAACCUAUGGCAAAGGACAUUACUUUAGAAGGUACCUCACCUCAAAUAUAGAGUACACCAAAAAAUGAACAGACUGGUUGGUUACUUUAUUGAAUUUCCACAUAAAUCUAAGACUUAUUGAGAGCAAAUCAUUUCUUCUGGUCUCAAAGAAACAAAAGAGCCACUUCAAACUUAUUUCUGCCUGGCUAUUGACAUGAUUAGUAAUGUGGAGAAUAAAGACAAUACUCUAAAAAUUCAGAUUGUAGCAUAGAAGAAAAAAAUGAGCAGGAAAUAAUUAGAGAAACAUGAUAUAAACACAGUGUGUAGUGUAUAUUCCCAAUGCAAAUGACUUCUAAUGGAACUAGUUCUAAUUAGUUAACUAAAUUAAUCCAGAAAAAAUAUUUUUAUUGAUCUGAUAUACUUUCUCUAUGUGAGAUAUGGAAGACAAGUUUUUUUUUUUUUCCUGAAGAGGGCUGAAAAUCAAUGAAUUUCUUGCCAUAAAAUAACUUAUUCACUACUACUUGAAUGCCAAAGGUUUUCAUCAAAGAAGCUUCAGCAUUCAUUUUCACAGCAGAUAGCAUCUGAUAGAUAUAAAGUUUUUAUAUCUAUUCUCUCAAAUGAUUAAUGUGACAAGAAUAAUGGGUUCUUGAUGGGACAAAUAAACCUCACAUAGUAUAAUACAAAUCGGUGUUCCAUCUGGUGUAUGAGUAGAUGCUUUCAAAUUAACUUGAAAUAAAAAUGGUCAACUGGGGCAACUCAUUUGUGAAAUAGUUUCCAUAUAUAUAUAUAUAAAUAUAUAUACACACAUUCCAGUUAGUUCUCCAUCGAAGUGAGGAGAAAUUUCCUAAUCAACUGAAAUGAAAUUUCACUUAUCAGAAUUAAUAAUAGUUGCUUCCAAACUUAUUUAUUGGUUGUGUUACUUAUUUGCCUAAAUUUGUAUAUUAGCAGGCAUAAGCUUCUAAUGUGUAGAUGGCGGGGAGGGAGAGGAAAAAUCCUAUGCAAGUACUGUUUGUUCUACAAUGGUGCUAAUCUCAUAGCAAAAUGAUGAAUUUUUUCACUUAAUUUAAAAACAGAGUUUAAAAUAAUUAUCUAUAUGUGUGUGUUUCCCCUUUGAGUGUUAUAUGUUAUACUUUUGCUUUGGUGUAAAAGCAGACCUAACAUGAAUCUGUUCUGAA
ensembl:lncRNA